GGUGGGGUGUCCGAGUCCGGCUUAAGGAGACGGUCUUGAAAACCGUUGGCCGAAAGGCCCGUGGGUUCAAAUCCCACCCCCACCG
rnacentral:tRNA from 1 species